rnacentral:rRNA from 1 species
ACGGGAGGCAGCAGUGGGGAAUAUUGCACAAUGGGGGAAACCCUGAUGCAGCAACGCCGCGUGAGUGAUGAAGUAUUUCGGUAUGUAAAGCUCUAUCAAUGGGGAAGAAAAUGACGGUACCCAUAUAAGAAGCCCCGGCUAACUACGUGCCAGCAGCCGCGGUAAUACGUAGGGGGCAAGCGUUAUCCGGAUUUACUGGGUGUAAAGGGAGUGCAGGCGGUCUGCCAAGUCAGAAGUGAAACCCCGCGGCUUAACUGCGGGCUUGCUUUUGAAACUGCCAGACUGGAGUGCAGGAGGGGCAAGCGGAAUUCCUAGUGUAGCGGUGAAAUGCGUAGAUAUUAGGAGGAACACCGGUGGCGAAGGCGGCUUGCUGGACUGUAACUGACGCUGAGACUCGAAAGCGUGGGGAGCAAACAGGAUUAGAUACCCUGGUA